rnacentral:tRNA from 1 species
GCCCAGGGGGUGCGACAGCAUACUAAAGUGCAAAUUUAGAGACGCACCUUAGUUGGUGCCGGGGCUU